AAAUUGAAGAGUUUGAUCAUGGCUCAGAUUGAACGCUGGCGGCAGGCCUAACACAUGCAAGUCGAACGGUAACAGGAAGCAGCUUGCUGCUUUGCUGACGAGUGGCGGACGGGUGAGUAAUGUCUGGGAAACUGCCUGAUGGAGGGGGAUAACUACUGGAAACGGUGGCUAAUACCGCAUAACGUCGCGAGACCAAAGAGGGGGACCUUCGGGCCUCUUGCCAUCAGAUGUGCCCAGAUGGGAUUAGCUUGUUGGUGAGGUAACGGCUCACUAAGGCGACGAUCCCUAGCUGGUCUGAGAGGAUGACCAGCCACACUGGAACUGAGACACGGUCCAGACUCCUACGGGAGGCAGCAGUGGGGAAUAUUGCACAAUGGGCGCAAGCCUGAUGCAGCCAUGCCGCGUGUAUGAAGAAGGCCUUCGGGUUGUAAAGUACUUUCAGCGGGGAGGAAGGUGUUGUGGUUAAUAACC
rnacentral:rRNA from 1 species